CUACGUGCCAGCAGCCGCGGUAAUACGGAAGGUCCAGGCGUUAUCCGGAUUUAUUGGGUUUAAAGGGAGCGUAGGCGGAUUGUUAAGUCAGCGGUUAAAGGGUGUGGCUCAACCAUGCAUUGCCGUUGAAACUGGCGAUCUUGAGUGCAGACAGGGAUGCCGGAAUUCGUGGUGUAGCGGUGAAAUGCUUAGAUAUCACGAAGAACUCCGAUCGCGAAGGCAGCUGACGGGAGCGCAACUGACGCUUAAGCUCGAAGGUGCGGGUAUCAAACAGGAUUAGAUACCCUGGUAGUCCGCACAGUAAACGAUGGAUGCCCGCUGUUGGUACCUGGUAUCAGCGGCUAAGCGAAAGCAUUAAGCAUCCCACCUGGGGAGUACGCCGGCAACGGUGAAACUCAAAGGAAUUGACGGGGGCCCGCACAAGCGGAGGAACAUGUGGUUUAAUUCGAUGAUACGCGAGGAACCUUACCCGGGCU
rnacentral:rRNA from 1 species